GAUCCUGGCUCAGGAUGAACGCUAGCUACAGGCUUAACACAUGCAAGUCGAGGGGCAGCGGGAAGUCAGCUUGCUGACUUUGCCGGCGACCGGCGCACGGGUGAGUAACACGUAUCCAACCUUCCCGUUACUCUGGAAUAGCCUUUCGAAAGAAAGAUUAAAUACCGGAUAGUAUCGAGAGAUUGCAUGAUAACCCGAUUAAAGAUUCAUCGGUAAUGGAUGGGGAUGCGUUCCAUUAGGCAG
rnacentral:rRNA from 1 species